rnacentral:rRNA from 1 species
AGCAGCCGCGGUAAUUCCAGCUCCAAUAGCGUAUAUUAAAGUUGUUGCAGUUAAAAAGCUCGUAGUUGAAUUUCGGGGUCAAUACGUCGGUCGUGCCUCCGGUAUGUACUGGUGUUAUUGAUCCCUCCCUUCUGAUAAACCAUGAUGUCAUUAAUUUGGUGUCGUGGGGAGUCAGGACUGUUACUUUGAAAAAUUAGAGUGUUUAAAGCAGGCUCACGCUUGAAUACAUUAGCAUGGAAUAAUGAAAUAGGACGUUCGAUCCUAUUUUGUUGGUUUCUAGGAUCAACGUAAUGAUUAAUAGGGAUAGUUGGGGGCAUUAGUAUUCAAUUGUCAGAGGUGAAAUUCUUGGAUUUAUUGAAGACUAACUACUGCGAAAGCAUUUGCCAAGGAUGUUUUCAUUAAUCAAGAACGAAAGUUAGGGGAUCGAAGACGAUCAGAUACCGUCGUAGUCUUAACCAUAAACUAUGCCGACUAGGGAUCGGAUGAUGUUAAUUUUUAAUGACUCAUUCGGCGCCUUACG